UAAACGACUCUCGGCAACGGAUAUCUCGGCUCACGCAUCGAUGAAGAACGUAGCAAACUGCGAUACUUGGUGUGAAUUGCAGAAUCCCGUGAACCAUCGAGUUUUUGAACGCAAGUUGCGCCCGAAGCCAUUCGGCCGAGGGCACGUCUGCCUGGGCGUCACGC
rnacentral:rRNA from 1 species